rnacentral:rRNA from 1 species
GACGAGGGGUCCAAGCGUUGCUCGGAAUCAUUGGGCGUAAAGCGGGUGUAGGUGGCUUUGUAAGUCAGAAGUGAAAGCCCAGGGCUUAACCCUGGAAGUGCUUUUGAUACUGCAAAGCUUGAGUGUGGGAGAGGAUCGUGGAAUUCCAGGUGUAGUGGUGAAAUACGUAGAUAUCUGGAGGAACACCGGUGGCGAAGGCGGCGAUCUGGCCCAACACUGACACUCAGACCCGAAAGUGCGGGGAUCAAACAGG